rnacentral:tmRNA from 1 species
GGGGGUGAAAGGUCUCGACUUAAGUAGCUUUGCUGAAAGAAGCAUGCCGAGGUUGCAAGGAGGCCUCGUUCCGAAUGAAGCGAAUACGCAAGUAUCGCUUCGGGAUUCCGAUGGUGAGGCUGGAUAAGUCUCAGCAUUCGGAAGAAAACACCUUGCACAUUGAUAACUGCCGACUACAGUCCGGUAGUAGAAGUCCUUCCUGCCUAAUUGCCAGGAAGGCCUCUCUUGAGGUCUUGCCUGUGGACCUGAAGAGAGAAUUUAAACAGGAUGCGCUUACCAAGUUAGCUCUUCUAAGGUAAGCAAAGAUUUAAAGAGCUGGCUAUGUUUAAUCCUGUCUAUCGGAGUAAGCGUAGCGAGAUAAAAAAGAUAGACUAAGCAUGUAGGGUCUUUUAGCAGAGAACUUAAGGACGCGGGUUCGAUUCCCGCCACCUCCAUUG